rnacentral:rRNA from 1 species
AGAGUUUGAUCAUGGCUCAGAAUCAACGCUGGCGGCGUGCCUCAGACAUGCAAGUCGAACGCGAAAGUCCCCUUCGGGGGACAAGUAGAGUGGCGCACGGGUGAGUAACACGUAGGUAAUCUACCUUCGGAUGGGGAAUAACAACCGGAAACGGUUGCUAAUACCGCAUAAUGCAGCGGCACCUAAUGGUGACAGUUGUUAAAGCGGGGGAUCGAAAGACCUCGCGUCUGAAGAGGAGCCUGCGGCGGAUUAGCUAGUUGGUAAGGUAAUGGCUUACCAAGGCAACGAUCCGUAACCGGCCUGAGAGGGCGGUCGGUCACACUGACACUGACAUACGGGUCAGACUCCUACGGGAGGCAGCAGUCGGGAAUUUUGGGCAAUGGGCGAAAGCCUGACCCAGCAACGCCGCGUGAAGGAUGAAAUCCCUCGGGAUGUAAACUUCGCAAGAACGGGAAGAAUAAGUAGGGGACAAUACCCCCUAUGAUGACGGUACCGUUUGUAAGCUCCGGCUAACUCCGUGCCAGCCGCCGCGGUAAUACA